AACGAACGCUGGCGGCAGGCCUAACACAUGCAAGUCGAGCGAGGACUUCGGUUCUAGCGGCGGACGGGUGAGUAACGCGUGGGAAUGUGCCCUUCUCUACGGAAUAGCCCUGGGAAACUGGGAGUAAUACCGUAUACGCCCUAUUGGGGAAAGAUUUAUCGGAGAAGGAUCAGCCCGCGUUGGAUUAGGUAGUUGGUGGGGUAAUGGCCUACCAAGCCGACGAUCCAUAGCUGGUUUGAGAGGAUGAUCAGCCACACUGGGACUGAGACACGGCCCAGACUCCUACGGGAGGCAGCAGUGGGGAAUCUUAGACAAUGGGGGCAACCCUGAUCUAGCCAUGCCGCGUGAGUGAUGAAGGCCUUAGAGUUGUAAAGCUCUUUCAGCUGGGAAGAUAAUGACGGUACCAGCAGAAGAAGCCCCGGCUAACUCCGUG
rnacentral:rRNA from 1 species